UACGUAGGGUGCAAGCGUGUCCGGAAUUAUUGGGCGUAAAGAGCUCGUAGGCGGUCUGUCGCGUCGAAUGUGAAAGCCCGGGGCUUAACUCCGGGUCGCAUUCGGUACGGGCAUGCUGGAGUUCGGUAGGGGAGACUGGAAUUCCUGGUGUAGCGGUGAAAUGCGCAGAUAUCAGGAGGAACACCGGUGGCGAAGGCGGGUCUCUGGGCCGAUACUGACGUGAGGAGCGAAAGUGUGGGGAGCGAACGG
rnacentral:rRNA from 1 species